ensembl:lncRNA novel transcript
GGUUCUGAUUCUACUUCCUCAACAAGCUACAGCAUGGCAGUAUCUGCCACCACUUGUUUUGGUCCAAGGGCAGAAAUCAGCAUCCUGGAAACCAAUCAGUACUUGCGCUCUGAACUGGAAAAGUGCAAACAGAACUUCCAAGACCUCACAGAGAAAUUCCUGACAUCCAAAGCUACUGCCUACUCCCUGACCAAUCACCUGCAGAAAUAUAGAUACAUGAUCCCUUAAUUCAGGCUCAGGCUGAAGAACUGACCCACUUACGACAGAAGACACAGGAAGGGAGAGGUGUCUGCUACCUUUUUACCCAGCAUGUGAAGAACACAGUCAAGUCUUUUGAGGGCCUUCUCAGGAACACUGGCAUUGCCUACUACCAGAGACAGAGAUUCUGUGAGCAAAUGGUACAAGGAAGCCAGCUGACAGAGAUCCUUGUCAGAAAACUUGUCACAGAAAAUCACAACGGUAAGAAAAAUGAAGACAGGCAAAAGCCACUGGCUCCUAGGCACACUCUACUCCCGGUCAAAAGUGGAUUGUAUAUGUCCUCUUUGAUGUGAUGGUCCCUUUGGUUUUGGUGCCUCUUCCAUGAGCUUCAGAUCAGAACUAGCUAUGUGGUUCCAGGCUGCCUUGGUUUCAUCCCUUGUCUUGCCUACUCCACCAGGCUCAGGAGGGACAUCAAGGAGGAAGAAAUGGAUAAAGUCCUGGAGGGACUUCAAACAGUAUUUGACCCAUUCCAGCCGCCAUGACUCCCACCAGCUUCGCAGCAGCAAUGCCUUCCUCUUUGAUGCACAGGAAGGCCCCUCGGCUGUGGAUAUAGCCAAAGAUGAGAUCCAGAGACAGCGGUAGCACCUGAAGGAGACCCUUUUCAUCAACAACUGCCUGUGAGAAAAGCUGGAAUGUCAUCUCAGCAGCUUUGAUGAAGAAAAUGCAUGCACCUCUAAACUCUACAGGCACAUCAUAGAUUCCAUCGUCCAGCUGUAUAAUGAAAACAGAGUUCUCAGAGAACACCGGAGACUCCCCCGACUUGCCUGAAUCAAGUUUCUAGAGGUAAGCGGUGAAAAUCCACAAUAUGAAGUCACUCUCAGACGGGUCCCUUCUCUUGUCACACUCCACUGUAGAAACAAAAGAGGACGGGGAAGCCAGAGCUGCUCAAAACCUUAUAACCCACAAUUGUCAUAGUUAUUCUCAACUUACACAGGGCUGCUUUCUAGACGCACCCCCUCCAGGCCCCCAGACUGCCAGGCUCCAGGAAUAAGUAGCUCUGAGAAAUAUAGUUUUUCGGUGGAAGCCACACUCCACUAUUGCAAAUUGGAGAAGAGAAGGACAAACUUAAAAGGUGAAAAGAUUUAAGAGAACAACAUGGUGAAACCCCAUCUCUACUAAAAAUACAAAAAUUAGCUAGGCGUGGUGACAUGCACCUGUAGUCCCAGCUACUCAGGAGGCUGAGGCAGGAGAAUCAUUUCAACCUGGGAGGCGGAGGUUGCAGUGACCCAAGAUUGCUCCACUGCACUCUAGCCUGGGUGACAGAGCAAGACUCCCUCUCAAGAAAAAAAGAAGAAAG